GCCACCGCUAUGUCUCCAUAAUUUGUAUACCCAGCCUGAGAGGUCCCUGGUCUCUUCAAUGACUGAGUUGAGGCUUGCUGUGCGGACUCAGCUAAUGCUAGCGCCAACAUUCGGGCAACAUUUUUCGGAGGCGGUGGUGGUGGGAUAAGAGAGACUGAACUGACAGGAACGGAAUCCUGAGGGGGGUCAUGGGUAACUGCUCCUGUCUGAGUCUGUCCAGAAGCUACAGCCUUA
rnacentral:lncRNA from 1 species